GACGAACCGUGCGAACGUUAUUCGGAAUCAUUGGGCUUAAAGGGCGCGUAGGCGGCGGUGUAAGUUGGAAGUGAAAUCCCAUCGGCUCAACCGUGGAAUCGCUCCCAGUACUGCAUCGCUCGAGGGGGAUAGGGGUCUGCGGAACUACCGGUGGAGCGGUGAAAUGUGUUGAUAUCGGUGGGAACGCCAAUGGCGAAAGCGGCAGACUUGACCCUUCCUGACGCUGAGGCGCGAAAGCUAGGGGAGCAAACGGG
rnacentral:rRNA from 1 species